GAUGAACGCUGGCGGCGUGCCUAAUACAUGCAAGUCGAGCGAACAGACGAGGAGCUUGCUCCUCUCACGUUAGCGGCGGACGGGUGAGUAACACGUGUAUAACCUACCUAUAAGACUGGGAUAACUUCGGGAAACCGGAGCUAAUACCGGAUAAUAUAUUGAACCGCAUGGUUCGAUAGUGAAAGACGGUUUUGCUGGCACGUCUAGCUGGAUCCGCGCCGCAUUGGCUAGUUGGUAGGGUAACGGCUUACCAAGGCAACGAUGCGUAGCCGACGUGACAGGGUGAUCGGCCACACUGGAACUGAGACACGGACAAGAGUACUACGGGAGGCAGCAGUAGGGAACGUGCCGCAAUGGUCGAAAGCCUGACGGAGCAACGCGAAGCGAGUGACGAAGGUCCUCGGAUCGUAAAACUGUCUUAUGAGUGGAGAACAAAUGUGGAAGUAAACAUGCACGUCGUGACGGUAACUAAUCAGAAAGCAACGGCUAACUACGUG
rnacentral:rRNA from 1 species